CCUAGUGGUGAGAGCAGGUAGCCCAGUGGUUAGAGCAGCUAGCCUAGUGGUUAGAGCCUAGUGGUUAGAGCAGGUAGCCUAGUGGUUAGAGCCCAGUGGUUAGAGCAGGUAGCCUAGUGGUUAGAGCAGGUAGCAUAGUUGUUAGAGCAGGUAGCCUAGUGGUUAGAGCAGGUAGCCUAGUGGUUAGAGCAGGUAGCCUAGUGGUUAGAGCCUAGUGGUUAGAGCAGGUAGCCUAGUGGUUAGAGCAGGUAGCCUAGUGGUUAGAGCCUAGUGGUUAGAGCAGGUAGCCUAGUGGUUAGAGCCUAGUGGUUAGAGCAGGUAGCCUAGUGGUUAGAGCCUAGUGGUUAGAGCAGGUAGCCUAGUGGUUAGAGCAGGUAGCCUAGUGGUUAGAGCCUAGUGGUUAGAGCAGGUAGCCUAGUGGUUAGAGCCUAGUGGUUAGAGCAGGUAGCCUAGUGGUUAGAGCCUAGUGGUUAGAGCAGGUAGCCUAGUGGUUAGAGCCUAGUGGUUAGAGCAGGUAGCCUAGUGGUUAGAGCCUAGUGGUUAGAGCAGGUAGCCUAGUGGUUAGA